rnacentral:rRNA from 1 species
GACAGCAGUAGCCGCGGUAAUACGAAGGGUGCAAGCGUUAAUCGGAAUUACUGGGCGUAAAGCGUGCGUAGGCGGUUUCUUAAGUCUGCUGUGAAAUCCCCGGGCUCAACCUGGGAAUGGCAGUGGAUACUGGGAAGCUAGAGUGUGUCAGAGGAUGGUGGAAUUCCCGGUGUAGCGGUGAAAUGCGUAGAGAUCGGGAGGAACAUCAGUGGCGAAGGCGGCCAUCUGGGACAACACUGACGCUGAGGCACGAAAGCGUGGGGAGCAAACAGGAUUAGAUACCCCGGUAGUCCCUGUCUCUUAUAC